AGUGAACGCUGGCGGUAGGCCUAACACAUGCAAGUCGAACGGCAGCACAGAGGAGCUUGCUCCUUGGGUGGCGAGUGGCGGACGGGUGAGGAAUACAUCGGAAUCUACUCUGUCGUGGGGGAUAACGUAGGGAAACUUACGCUAAUACCGCAUACGACCUACGGGUGAAAGCAGGGGACCUUCGGGCCUUGCGCGAUUGAAUGAGCCGAUGUCGGAUUAGCUAGUUGGCGGGGUAAAGGCCCACCAAGGCGACGAUCCGAAGCUGGUCUGAGAGGAGGAUCAGCCACACUGGAACGGAGACACGGUCCAGACUCCUACGGGAGGCAGCAGUGGGGAAUAUUGGACAAUGGGCGCAAGCCUGGUCCAGCCAUACCGCGUGGGAGAAGAAGGCCUUCGGGUUGUAAAGCCCUUUUGUUGGGAAAGAAAUCCAGCUGGCUAAUACCCGGUUGGGAUGACGGUACCCAAAGAAUAAGCACCGGCUAACUUCGUGCCAGCCGCCGCAGUAA
rnacentral:rRNA from 1 species